AUAGCAAAAAUGUUGUAAUGUUUCUCAUUUAAUAUAUAUAUAUAUAAGUGUAUAUAUAUAUAUAAGUGUAUAUAUAUAUAUAUAUAUAUAUAUAAGUGAUAUUAAAGAAAGAGUUUCGCAUGUGAUUACUCAAAUCUCACAUAUCACUUUAUGAAUUGAUUAUAUAAUUUUUAUUGUUUAUGCUUGGUGUUAUACUUUUUAAUCAAUAACAUAACUCAAUUCAUAACAGUCAUAUUUAAUAUAUAAUUGCAUUUUAUGGACGUUCACUCUAUUGUUAUAAAAGUUAAAGCCACCUUUACCUGCGGAGAUAUUUACUCCCGAAGACACAAUUCAAGUUUCCAAUUACCUAAAAAGACACUUUGAGCUCUGUGAACACUUCUUUUUAGUGAAUUGUCUUAUCUAUCCCUCAACUAUGUGAACUCUCUCUUUUCUUUGAAUCAUUAACUAGAUGGAACCUUAUAACUAGAACCACUUUAUUAUUUUUAAAACAAUAAAGCUAAUUCCUUUUUUUUCUUUAUUAAAAACGUCUUUACCUAUUCCCUUCCUAAAUUCCUAGAUCUUGUAACAUCUCAGAAAACAAAUCAUAAUCCUCUUUCUCUCUGUCUCAGAUUUCUCGAUCCAGAAAUUGUAGUGUCCGUAAUCACGCCGCUUUGCUUCGGUUUCAAUCUCCGACAUGGAAGAGAACAGAGAAGACGAUGUCUCCCCGAAAGACUUUUCGCAACAGAUCGGUUCUCCUGUCGCCGUCUGAAUAUUACUCAAGACCUAACACACUUGCUUUCAUCCUCCAUCGUCUUUGUGGUUCUCCAGAAUUUGUGGACAAGAUAGUUAUGGACAAGAUACUUGUGGUCAAGAGAAUUGUGGUUAAGAAAAUUGUGUUAUAGAAGAGAGCAUUGUGGAUAAGAUAGUUAUGGACAAGAUACUUGUGGUCAAGAGAAUUGUGUUAACAUUUUUAUAAAGAAGUCAUGCAAUUCAAACCUCGUA